rnacentral:siRNA from 1 species
UAACCGUAUCAGUGAUGUGUU